UAGGUGAAGAAUUUGUAUGCAUUGGCUUAAUGCUUCUGCCUUCUAAAGAAGCUGAGCUAUCUAGUUUAGCCGUUGAAAUUGAGGACAUAUCAUUCUGGAUGACUGGUUGAAAUGAGUCUCAUGAUUUUUCUUCACAGCUGUAUUAUGGUGUUUCAGAUAUUUUUGCGGGAAAAUUUUCGAAUUUGAUGCAAGCUGUGGUCCCGCUCUGUUAAGUCCUUAUUUAUUUUCUUAAUUGUCAGGUGAAUAAAUUUCUCGCCAUUGCUUUUUUUAUGAUUAUUCCAUCUUUCAUUGAUCAAGUCUCUUACUUUGACAGUAGUUUGGGCUCCUAUUCUCAUUGACUUGAAUCAGCAAGUAUUUAUUAGAUGUCCACUUAGUCUUGGUAAAUAGUUCUUGCAUGUUUUAGCAAAAUUGAAUGAGAAUGUGCUAAAAGAUGUGUGGUCUGUUGAAAGUUAAAACUGAACAAUGGCUAUUGUCUCAUUCAUCACUGGGUGACAAGAAUAUGAUUGUAUUGCACAUUUUGAACAGAAAAUGAUGGUCGGGUAUCUCUCUUUUAUGUGCCUUAUCUUAAGCUUAGUCUUUCUCUUUUAUGGUAUUUUUCCAGAUUCUUGGCCCUAAGCUGGUUUUCUUUUACUUGCA
rnacentral:lncRNA from 1 species